UCACAACCGAAACAGAAAAUCGGUCCGUCUCACUCACACUCACUCGCGAUUUUUGGAACACCGAUUUUUUGCAUACAUUUCAGUCAGUGCUGGGCGUGUCGCUCGGCAACACCGUGUCGGGUUCGGUGGUCCUGAUCGUGACGACCUUACCGGUACUGAUAACUGGGAUGCUGAUCUCUUCUUCUGGAAGAAAUCGUCGGAUCCGAGCAGGAAGGUGAAACCGGUAAUACUCAAAGGAUGUUAUAGCGUUUUCUUCUAGCACCUUCUACACCAACCUCAAGUUUUGCACCAAAUCCAACAACAGCAACAGCAACUUGAACUGAAGGGAACUCAUAUUGAGAAGCAAUGAAAUAGCAACAGUUAGUGCUAUCUUCAAUUUCAAUUUCAGGGAGUGUAAGUGGAGGUUGGAGUGUUCCAGCACCAAAAGCAUCUCUUGAGGCUUGGCAACGAUUUUUAUGAUGUUCUUAAAGGAAAAUAAGAAUGUUGCUGCUUUGACAACUAAAGCUAAGGUUAGAAAGUAGUCAGUUUUGAAAGGGCUGAAAAUUCCUUGAGGAAAGAGGAUUUAUAAUUAUCGAAAUGUUACAACUUUGCUUAGCCAUGAUUGCAUUGUUCAAAGGAGGCACCAAAAGACUGCUUUUGAAGAGAAAUCUGCUCUGGCUAAGCAUGAGGCUGAACUUUCAAUGUUAAAAAAAAAAGAAGAAAGCUCACUUGAAGAUGUUGAAUAGCUAAAAGGUCAAAAGCAAUUUUUUUUCCAGUUGGGAUUGUACAUGGU